rnacentral:rRNA from 1 species
GGGUGAGUAACACGUGAGUAACCUGCCUUACACCCGGGGAUAGCCUUUGGAAACGAAGAAUAAUACCCUAUAAAGUCAAAAUAUCGCAUGAUAAAGUGACCAAAGAUUUAUCGGUGUAAGAUGGACUUGCGUCUGAUUAGCUAGUUGGUGAGAUAAAAGCCCACCAAGGCGACGAUCAGUAGCCGGCUUGAGAGAGUGUACGGCCACAUUGGGACUGAGACACGGCCCAAACUCCUACGGGAGGCAGCAGUGGGGAAUUUUGCACAAUGGGGGAAACCCUGAUGCAGCGACGCCGCGCGAUUUAGAAGGCCUUCGGGUUGUAAAAAUCUUUUUUAUGGGAUGAAAAUGACAGUACCAUAAGAAUAAGGUCCGGCUAAAUACGUGCCAGCAGCCGCGGUAAUACGUAUGGACCGAGCGUUGUCCGGAAUCAUUGGGCGUAAAGGGUACGUAGGCGGCCUAGUAAGUUAGAAGUGAAAUAAUAUAGCUCAACUAUAUAAAGCUUUUAAAACUGUUAGGCUUGAGAGAUGAAAGGGAAAGUGGAAUUCCUAGUGUAGCGGUGAAAUGCGCAGAUAUUAGGAAGAAUACCGGUGGCGAAGGCGACUU